UACGUAGGGUGCAAGCGUUGUCCGGAAUUAUUGGGCGUAAAGAGCUCGUAGGCGGUUUGUCGCGUCGAAUGUGAAAUCUCGGGGCUCAACCCCGGGCCUGCAUUCGAUACGGGCAGACUAGAGUUCGGUAGGGGAGUCUGGAAUUCCUGGUGUAGCGGUGAAAUGCGCAGAUAUCAGGAGGAACACCGGUGGCGAAGGCGGGACUCUGGGCCGAUACUGACGCUGAGGAGCGAAAGCGUGGGGAGCAAACAGG
rnacentral:rRNA from 1 species